AACGAACGCUGGCGGCAUGCCUAACACAUGCAAGUAGAACGAGAUCUUCGGGUCUAGUGGCGCACGGGUGCGUAACGCGUGGGAAUCUGCCCUUUGGUUCGGAAUAACAGUUGGAAACGACUGCUAAUACCGGAUGAUGACGAAAGUCCAAAGAUUUAUCGCCAGAGGAUGAGCCCGCGUAGGAUUAGCUAGUUGGUGUGGUAAAGGCACACCAAGGCGACGAUCCUUAACUGGUCUGAGAGGAUGAUCAGCCACACUGGGACUGCGACACGGCCCAGACUCCUACGGGAGGCAGCAGUGGGGAAUGUUGGACAAUGGGCGAAAGCCUGAUCCAGCAAUGCCGCGUGAGUGAUGAAGGCCUUAGGGUUGUAAAGCUCUUUUACCCGGGAUGAUAAUGACAGUACCGGUAGAAUAAGCUCCGGCUAACUCCGUGCCAGCAGCCGCAGUAA
rnacentral:rRNA from 1 species